GCAAAACCGAUGAGAAAGAGUAGUAAGCUUAUUCAUGAAGGAACAGAGAGCUGCGGUGGUGAAAUGCAGUACGAAUUGAUUUGCUGAAUGGACUUUUGAGGGCAGUCCGAACAUGGAAAAUAAGUAGGCACUGUCGGGGAACCGAAACCCGUUAUCAGUAAGGAGUGUAUGAUAGUACAUGCGUAAAGUGGACAUGAAAAAUGUUAAUUUGAGUGGUACCGCGAUAAUAAGAAUUUAUUACCGUCUCAAGC
rnacentral:ncRNA from 1 species